AUUGAACGCUGGCGGCAUGCCUUACACAUGCAAGUCGAACGGCAGCACGGGAGCAAUCCUGGUGGCGAGUGGCGAACGGGUGAGUAAAGUAUCGGAACGUGCCCAGUCGUGGGGGAUAACGUAGCGAAAGUUACGCUAAUACCGCAUACGAUCUAUGGAUGAAAGCGGGGGAUGGCAAGACCUCGCGCGAUUGGAGCGGCCGAUAUCAGAUUAGGUAGUCGGUGGGGUAAAGGCUCACCAAGCCGACGAUCUGUAGCUGGUCUGAGAGGACGACCAGCCACACUGGGACUGAGACACGGCCCAGACUCCUACGGGAGGCAGCAGUGGGGAAUUUUGGACAAUGGGCGAAAGCCUGAUCCAGCCAUGCCGCGUGCAGGAUGAAGGCCUUCGGGUUGUAAACAGCUUUUGUACGGAACGAAAAGGUUUGGCCUAAUAAGCUGAGCUCAUGACGGUACCGUAAGAAUAAGCACCGGCUAACUACGUGCCAGCCGCCGCAGUAA
rnacentral:rRNA from 1 species